GCACAAGCGGUGGAGCAUGUGGUUUAAUUCGACGCAACGCGAAGAACCUUACCUGGGCUUGACAUCUGGGGAAUCUCAUGGAAACAUGGGAGUGCGGAGCAAUCUGAACCCCAAGACAGGUGCUGCAUGGCUGUCGUCAGCUCGUGUCGUGAGAUGUUGGGUUAAGUCCCGCAACGAGCGCAACCCUUGUCUCUAGUUGCCACCAUUCAGUUGGGCACUCUAGAGAGACUGCCGGUGAUAAACCGGAGGAAGGUGGGGACGACGCCAAGUCCUCAUGGCCUUUAUGCCCAGGGCUACACACGUGCUACAAUGGAUCGUACAAAGGGUCGCGAACCCGCGAGGGGGAGCCAAUCCCAAAAACCGGUCCUCAGUUCGGAUUGGAGUCUGCAACUCGACUCCAUGAAGUUGGAAUCGCUAGUAAUCGUGGAUCAGCAUGCCACGGUGAAUACGUUCCCGGGCCUU
rnacentral:rRNA from 1 species